rnacentral:rRNA from 1 species
AAAGCGCCUGUAGGUUGUUUAAUAAGUCUGUUGUUAAAGACUAGGGCUUAACCCUAGAAAAGCAAUGGAAACUACUAGACUAGAGUAUGGCAGGGGUAGAGGGAAUUUCUAGUGUAGCGGUGAAAUGCGUAGAUAUUAGAAAGAACACCGGCGGCGAAAGCGCUCUACUGGACCAUUACUGACACUCAGAGGCGAAAGCUAGGGUAGCAAAAGGGAUUAGAUACCCCUGUAGUCCUAGCCGUAAACGAUGGAUACUACAUGUUGUGCAUUACGUACAGUAUGGUAGCUAACGCGUUAAGUAUCCCGCCUGGGGAGUACGCUCGCAAGGGUGAAACUCAAAGGAAUUGACGGGGGCCCGCACAAGCGGUGGAGCAUGUGGUUUAAUUCGAUGCAACGCGAAGAACCUUACCAGGACUUGACAUACUACAAAUUCUUUUGAGAAAAAGAAGUGCCUUCGGGAAUGUAGAUACAGGUGGUGCAUGGCUGUCGUCAGCUCGUGUCGUGAGAUGUUGGGUUAAGUCCCGCAACGAGCGCAACCCUUAUUUUUAGUUACCAAUUCGUUGGGUUCUCUAGAAAGACUGCCGGUGACAAACCGGAGGAAGGUGAGGAUGACGUCAAGUCAGCAUGCCCCUUAUGUCCUGGGCUACACACGUGCUACA